GCCCUCGUAGCUCAGGUGGAUAGAGCACUCGUUUCCUAAAUGAGUGGCCGCGCGUUCGAGUCGCGCCGAGGGCA
rnacentral:tRNA from 1 species